AAGAUUUUAAGUUAAAUAAACUAAUAACCUUCAAAGUUGUAAAAAUCAAUACCAGAUAAAUCUUA
rnacentral:tRNA from 1 species